UACAGAGGGUGCUAGCGUUGUUCGGAAUUAUUGGGCGUAAAGGGCGCGUAGGCGGCCCUGUGUGUCGGGUGUGAAAGCCCACCUCUUAAAGGUGGAAUUGCAUUCGAAACUACAGGGCUGGAGUGUCGGAGAGGAUGGCGGAAUUCCUGGUGUAGAGGUGAAAUUUGUAGAUAUCAGGAGGAACACCGGUGGCGAAGGCGGCCAUCUGGACGACAACUGACGCUGAGGCGCGAAAGCGUGGGGAUCAAACAGG
rnacentral:rRNA from 1 species